rnacentral:tRNA from 1 species
UCCUUCUUAGCUCAGUUGGUAGAGCGCGUCACUAGUAUCUGUAUUCAAGUGACUUAAUGACGAGGUCAGUCGUUCAAGUCGGCUAGAAGGAA